GACGAACGCUGGCGGCGUGCUUAACACAUGCAAGUCGAACGGAAAGGCCCUGCUUUUGCGGGGUUCUCGAGUGGCGAACGGGUGAGUAACACGUGAGUAACCUGCCCUUGACUUUGGGAUAACUUCAGGAAACUGGGGCUAAUACCGGAUAGGAGCUCCUUCUGCUUGGUGGGGGUUGGAAAGUUUCGGCGGUUGGGUAUGGACUCGCGGCUUAUCAGCUUGUUGGUGGGGUAGUGGCUUACCAAGGCUUUGACGGGUAGCCGGCCUGAGAGGGUGACCGGCCACAUUGGGACUGAGAUACGACACAGACUCCUGCGGGAUGCAGCAGUGGGAAAUAUUGCACAAUGAGCGGAAGCAUGAUGCAGCAACGCCGCGUGCGGGAUGACGGCAUUCGGGUUGUAAACCGCUUUCGCCUGUGACGAAGCGUGAGUGACGGUAAUGGGUAAAGAAGCACCGGCUAACUACGUG
rnacentral:rRNA from 1 species